CGUGUAGGCGGCCCUGUAAGUUGGGUGUGAAAGUCCUCGGCUUAACCGAGGAAGUGCGCCCAAAACUGCAGGGCUUGAGUACCGGAGAGGAUGGCGGAAUACCCGGUGUAGAGGUGAAAUUCGUAGAUAUCGGGUGGAACACCAGUGGCGAAGGCGGCCAUCUGGACGGAUACUGACGCUGAGACGCGAAAGCGUGGGGAGCAAACAGGAUUAGAUACCCUGGUAGUCCACGCUGUAAACGAUGAGCGCUAGGUGUUGUGGGUGUUGACCCCCGCAGUGCCGCAGCUAACGCAUUAAGCGCUCCGCCUGGGAAGUACGGCCGCAAGGCUAAA
rnacentral:rRNA from 1 species